CUAUGUGAUGAUACAGCACCUUUUUUACUUUAUUUUCUGGUACCUCUUAUGUCAGAAGCAGAUCCUUGUGGUCUGCUUCGAUGAUCUUAAUGGACUUCUGACA
rfam:Aspergillus lentulus DNA, contig: Alt05, strain: IFM 54703.